UCCACUGUAUAUAGACUCAGACUCUGAUGAGCCAUCUGGUGAACCUAGGAAACCACGUCUUUCACGGCAGCCUGAUGUGAGAGUUCCAGUAGCAUGGUCCUCACAACUGGCAAGAAAUGAAAUGAUGGCAGCAUCCGCCGGCGGCGCUGGGCGUCUCACCAGCUGCAGGUCCCACAGAGAGAGGAUGUGACCAUGCAAGGUGACAACGGGCAGCUUUUGAAAG